AAUAAAACAGUAGUCUAUGAAACUAAAGUCACAAGUUAAGGUCUUGGAAAGCAAUCAAGAGAAUGAGAGGCCACACCUUUUGUUUUGGGCAUGUGUUUUUUUUCCUUUUUGCUAAUCAAUAACUUUCAAGCAUGAUGACAUGUCUUGCUGAUUUGUAUACAGGGAAGGAACAAAAGAGCUAGGGAGCCGACAGAAGAGAGUUUCGGGAUGGUUCACAUCAGUGGCGAACUAGGGUGAUUCAUGGGGGUACAUCUAUACCCCCAAACUUUUUGACAUAAUACCCAUAUUUAUACACAAGUGCAUGCAAUAAAAACCAGUUGAACUUUUGUAAUAUAUAUGUCAUUUGAAUUAUCUUGUUGAUUUGUUUGAA